CCAUUUUUUUUCGUGAAAACCCUAGUCGUCGAAACCAGCAGCCGGCCUUUGAGUCUGCGCCAACCAUACGCACCUCCAGUCAGACGUCAGUUCCGCUAUCCUAGUCGCUUUGCGAAAACGCUCUCGGUCGCUCAGUGUUUGCAGUCUGAAGCAGUCGCUCGUCGACCCUCUAGCGCCGCUUUCCGUCCAGCGUCUCUGGUCAGUCGCGUUCGUGGUGCAACCCUUUCGCCGCACCAUUGUCAAUUCCAAUCGCGAACAUCCGCUGUUCUUCGCAUCGAGCACGGGUUCGAAGGCCAGCCACCUCUGUUCGACAAGCCAUUGCCGCAAGUCCCAGGUCAGCUGUAGUUAGUCCGCUCGGUCGGAGUUGCAUCGCGCCGACAGUUCUGUGCAGGUCCAGUCCAUUUUCACAGCCGUUAUUGUCUUGGUCAUUGGUUUUGGAUAGAUUGAUUGGUUGAGGUACAGUUAGUGGGUUUAUUCGGAUUAUUGAAGUUGUUGUCCAGCCAACUAAAGGCCUAGUCGGCGAAUUUUUGGUGAAAGGUUUCAUUGGGCAAGGAAGAGGCUAAGCUUGCUAGUUUCUAGAGUUUCCGAUUAGAGGUAAGGGUAGAGAUGCACCGGUGAUGGCGCAGCUGAAUUCGUGAUCGUGCCACUGGGACUAGU